rnacentral:misc_RNA from 5 species
AACCCUCAAACCCAAGUUUUGGAUUUCGAUCCAUGCUUGAGUUUGGAUUUGGAUGUUUGCCGGUGAUGAACCGACUCAUCUUAAAAGUAUUAGCUUGGAUCUGUCUAUAUGACUGGUUUGACUUGGCAUAAUAAGUAUUUUGCUGAGGACAUCUUCGGAUGGCCAGGACCUAGACUACUGUCUGCUAACUAAACCAUCACUUUAAGUGCAUCUUUGGAUGUUACUCAUUGUGUAACUUUGAC